rnacentral:rRNA from 1 species
UACAGAGGGUGCGAGCGUUGUCCGGAAUCACUGGGCGUAAAGGGCGCGUAGGCGGCCUGGUAAGUAGGGGGUGAAAUCCCGUGGCUCAACUGCGGGACGGCCUCCUAGACUGCCGGGCUCGAGCACAGUAGAGGCAGGUGGAAUUCCCGGUGUAGCGGUGGAAUGCGUAGAGAUCGGGAAGAACAUCGGUGGCGAAGGCGGCCUGCUGGGCUGUUGCUGACGCUGAGGCGCGACAGCGUGGGGAGCAAACAGG